AUUUGGGGAUGAUCCUGAGGUUGUGUAGAUCACUGUGGUAUAUUUAUGUACCCAUUUUGAGCUAUGUAUGAGAAGUUAUUAGCUAAUUUUGCUUAUGUGCUUUAAAAUAACGUUUUUAUAGUUAAUUCGCAUAUAGGUGAGACUUAUCUCGAGGACAAGCGUAUCCAAGGAUGACUCAGGGGCUACGACCCUUUGACUUAUCAAUGAGUGGGCUUUUGGUUUUCAGUAUAUAUUUAUAUACUUGAUAUUUUCCCAGAAAUAUGUGUUUAAAUAAUAAUGUCAUAAAUGUCAUGCAUAUAAGUUUAUAAUUUAUACAUGAUUGGUAUGUAAUAUAUAUAUAUAUAUAUAUAUGUGUGGUGU
rnacentral:lncRNA from 1 species